UUGUCUUUCUUCAUCUUUUUCGUUCACCUCUCUAAACUAUCUCAAUGCUUCUUUGAUUCCAUUGUCGGUUUCCUUGUACUCGUCAAUUUCAUGUUUUUUUUUCUAUCAAUACAUGUGAAGUUUGAAUAACAAAAUCUUCGAAGAUAUUUGUCAAAUUCUUCUACAUCAUUUAAUAAUUGUCUUGAAUGCAAAACAUAUCAAAAUCUUUUUAUCGGUUUCAUCCGGUUCUCCUCUCGCUUUAGCGGAAUUCGAUCUUACUCCAUUUUCGUUCUCACCGGCUUUUCUUCAAAGAUUUCUCUGUUUUCUCCAACUGAUCGAGGAGUAAUAUCUUCAUCGCUUCCUUUGCUCUAGACGCAAGAGCAACUUGGAUUCAGAUCUACAUCAAGAUGGGUAUAGACGGUGGUGGAGCUUCCCCGGAUUUGGUUUUUGACAGAAAUUUUUUGAAGCUAUGAUGAUCUCUCAAUCCGGUAGAUUCGAUGCUUUUUUGGGUUGGAUUCGAGAUCGGACAGAAGGCAGGCCGAUACACAUCGAUCCAGGAUUGAUUAGCGGCGGCUAAUUGAAGAUUUGGCGAUGUCCGGCGAGCUCUUGACGGCGGUGCUACAAUCCUCGACACGUAGUUAGGCGGAGACACGUCCUAUACACGUGUUGUUAUUUUGUUAAUCAUAAUUUGUGUUUAAUUAUGGUUUAAAUGGGCCGUUUUUAUUUUCGUUGUAUCCACUAGACUAACCUUCUGUACUACCUUUUGGGCUUUACUUAAUGAAAAUUUG